rnacentral:tRNA from 1 species
GGGGAUGUAGCUCAGUGGUAGAGCAUCCUUGGGUUCAAUCCCCAGUGUUGCCA